ACGGAUUUGGCGGCAAGAUAGCCCCUUAGAGGAACCUGCCCUAUAAACGAUGAACCACGAAGAGACGUUACUUUUUUUUGAAAUCAGUUUGUAUAUCGCUGUUGUCAGUUAGAUUCCGAAGAAUAUUUUCAUUUAUGAAAAGGUCAUUGACUUCAAGUAAAGGUGCAGCUUAUAGAAAAGAAAGAGGUGGGUUACAUUUAAAAGAAUAAUACGGAUAAGAUGAAUGAAGGAAUCUUUGAAGGUGGAUUUAACUGUAAAAUUUAAUAAAAUUUGGUGAGAGCUCUAUCUUGUGUACACACC
rnacentral:rRNA from 1 species